UAAGUCGUAAUGUUAUCAUAGUAAUGAGACUUCAAUGGAGGAGUUCAACCAAUUUCUACUGUCAAGUUCCUGCGCAAUGAAGGAUACAAAACUAAAAUUAUUGUGAGGAAUUUCGGAAAUUUCAUAUCAGGGGAGACAAUCUUGUAUAAAAAACAUAAGAAAUAAUAUAAUUUGCGGGCGGAGCUUCCUGUUCUGGUUGGACUGUAAGUUCUGGGUUCUUCGCUCCUCACGUAAUAAAUUAUCCUUACAGAUUGCCCUUGCAUUGCCCUUGGUAUAUUUGUUUCUUUGAGUUAAGAUUCCAUAGUCAUCCCAUCAGUCAAGAUCAUUCCAUCAGUCUCGAACGUACUUUUAGAGCAUUAAAGACGGAUCUACCUUCAUAGGACUAAGUCGCAUUUCGCCUAAUCUUUUUUCAAAUUUUUACUCUAUUACAAUGACAUAGUCAUCGAUUUUAAUUUUAAUUUUGAUUUUAUGUAAUAGGUAUAUUCAAUGCAAAGAAGAACGUGUCAUUUUGCUGUAUGGACGGGUCCCGAUUUUCCCUUAAAAACGGCAAAAAAAUUUAAAGAAAACAAUUUCUGGGAAACUAAAGUGAAAAAAGAAAACUGAUUUUUAUAAGUGCCUCUUGCCAGAGUACGUGGACCCUAGAAAAAGCAGGUCGAUGUCAUUGAGGUAAACCUGCUUUUAAUAAAAUUUUAUUUUAUCAAA